rnacentral:rRNA from 1 species
GACGAACGCUGGCGGCGUGCUUAACACAUGCAAGUCGAACGGAAAGGCCCUGCUUUUGUGGGGUGCUCGAGUGGCGAACGGGUGAGUAACACGUGAGUAACCUGCCCUUGACUUUGGGAUAACUUCAGGAAACUGGGGCUAAUACCGGAUAGGAGCUCCUGCUGCAUGGUGGGGGUUGGAAAGUUUCGGCGGUUGGGGAUGGACUCGCGGCUUAUCAGCUUGUUGGUGGGUUAGUGGCUUACCAAGGCCUUGACGGGUAGCCGGCCUGAGAGGGUGACCGGCCACAUUGGGACUGAGAUACGGCCCAGACUCCUACGGGAGGCAGCAGUGGAGAAUAUUGCACAAUGGGCGGAAGCCUGAUGCAGCAACGCCGCGUGCGGGAUGACGGCCUUCGGGUUGUAAACCGCUUUCGCCUGUGACGAAGCGUGAGUGACGGUAAUGGGUAAAGAAGCACCGGCUAAAUACGUG